AAACAAUGUUGUGGGCAUGAAUUAACAAGAUCCUUGAACCACUCUAAACAUUGGAAUAAUGUUUCAUCUUCCUUUUGGGCAAACUUCAUGAUCAACUUUCUAAGGGU